AUUAAAACUUAAACCUAACCUAAUUUUACAAAACCUAAAUGCCUAUACGUUCAGAAAGGGAAAAAAGAGAGAAAGGGGAACAGAGAGGGAGCAAAGGGGAAACGAGAAAUUGAUGAAAGGGAGAAGAAGGAUCAGGGAAGCCAGAGGAGAGGGUGACGACGGAAGGUGUCAUUACCGUCGCUGGCAUUGAAAUCGGAGGGGAAGCACCACGAAGAACAGAGAGACGCGCAUGAUAGAGGGAAAAGGUAGUGUCGCUACCGUGCCUGGUGAUCGUUGCGGAAGCUUCGAUCGCUAUUGUCCCUGCUAGGGUUACCACUGACGCCGAACAGAACAGGGGAGAGUAGCGCAAAUUGGAAGAGUAAAGGGAGCUCUGUUGCGGGCUCGUUGCCAAGAAAAGAAGAGGCGAUGCUGAUGGGGAUCGCCGCCGGUGUCAUCGCCGUCACUAUGGUUCGUGGUCACCACUGCCGUUGGUGACGGACUAGGUUGCGUCCUAGCUACCGGAGCCGCCAUCCCCGUCACCUUGUUGCUUCGGGUCAACCAUGUCUCUGCCUCUGAUGUACCUUGUUGUGCCAUAUCCGUUGGAACUGUCGUGGUUGGAGCUUGUUAUUAGAGAAAGCAAUUCGCUGCCACCAUCUUUCAGUCUAGCCAGCAUCAUCAUCCUCUUUGUUCCAGUUCCAAUGCCAAUUUUCUAUUUCUUAAGCCAUUGUCAAUUUAUCUCCUGAGCAAUCACAAUUGGUGUUGAGGUCGUUGAUGUUGCUGCUGUUAUGCUAUAGCUAGUCACAAGAGUUUUACUGCUGCGGGAUUACGUUGAAAUUGUCGCUGCUGCUGUGAAUUCAAAAUAAGCGGGCUUAUAGUGGUUAAUUUGUGCGAGUUCAGCUAAUCGAGGUAGGGGGUUUAACUUAAACGAUUUUAAUUUAAGAAUGCCUACAAGGUUUAUUGAAACUGCAAAUAGAUUUAAUAACUUUGAGUAAUUGAUUGAUUAAAUGAAUGUUGAGUUUUGGCUGAAAUUAUGAUUGGAAUGAUUGAGAUUUUUUAUUGGAACUUUGGUUGAAUUCGUUGAUUAUGUGAAAUUGAAUUAUAAAGUGUUUGAUGGGAGAUUAUUGUGAUUUAUGUAUUUUGAUUGAUUAAAUUGAAAUUAUUGCUGUUGAGUUGGUU